AUUGAACGCUGGCGGCGUGCCUAACACAUGCAAGUCGAGCGGUAACAGGUGUAGCAAUACAUGCUGACGAGCGGCGAACGGGUGAGUAAUGCUUCGGAAUCUGCCCAUGUAGUGGGGAAUAACCAGCCGAAAGGUUGGCUAAUACCGCAUACGACCUACGGGUGAAAGCAGGGGAUCGCAAGACCUUGCGCUAUUGGAUGAGCCGAAGUCGGAUUAGCNGUUGGUAGGUAACGGCCUACCAAGGCGACGAUCCGUAGCUGGUCUGAGAGGACGACCAGCCACACUGGGACUGAGACACGGCCCAGACUCCUACGGAGGCAGCAGUGGGGAAUAUUGGACAAUGGGGGCAACCCUGAUCCAGCGACGCCGCGUGUGUGAAGAAGGCCUGCGGGUUGUAAAGCACUUUUAGUGGGGAUGAAAAGCACAUGGCUAAUAUCCGUGUGUCUUGACCUAA
rnacentral:rRNA from 1 species